rnacentral:lncRNA from 1 species
GGAAGCUGGUGGGAAAAUGUGUGGAGCUGGGCUUGCUGCUUCUGCUACUUCCCAGGAGACGGGGAAAAAAAGGAUGGUGCCUGGAUAGAGCUCCUCUUCCUCCUCUCCCCAGCACUACGCACCAGCCCACUCACCACAGGAAGACAAACAUCUUUGCAACGCUCCAGUAUCAUAAACAAGGCUGUUGCAGGGUGGAAGGAAGGGCACAGCACUGGUUUUGGUAGCCCAAUAAGCCUGCUCGACCACUGAACCUGUCUGACCCUGCAGUCAAAGAAGUCUGAGCUGUUCCCAGCCUCAUCUCAGAUCCUCUCUCAGUUCUGGUGCAGGUAAGUCAAGGAUGAGGUUUAUUUUUCCCUACCUGGCACAUCUGCUUCUUUGUGUAUGGGU